rnacentral:hammerhead_ribozyme from 1 species
AUUCAGCUGAUGAAUCCAAAAUAGGACGAAACGCAUGUCCUGGUU